rnacentral:piRNA from 1 species
UAACAAAUCAAAAAAAGUUUU